CAUUGAAUUUAUUUUAUUUUAAAGUUAUCUAUGUACACCAAGUAAAUACACACAGGGGGUUGCGCAGUUUGGUUUGUCUUCCACGCUGGCAUGCAACAUUUUGGCAGAUGUGAGUGGGCAGGCCAGGUGCCCCUUGCAGUGACCCUGGCUCUGAAAGGGAUGCGGUGAAGGUGGGGAGCAGGAGGAGGAGGAGGAUGUAGUGUGAAGCUUCUGGUGAAGGGUUUGCGUGUGUGUUGUUUCUUUUUUAUGUAAGUGAAUUAUAUUUCCCUUACAUCUUGCUAAAGAGAAGGCUGCUCCCUCUGUGUCAUCUCUCUCCUCAUCUGCGCUACACCCUCACAUUUCCUUAUGUGUUUUUAAAAGAACCAUGUGGUGGCAACAUUACAUAAAACCCCCUGGAUUCUUAAGUGCCCUGCUGACAGCAAAUAUUAGCCUAAGUCCACAGGCCCACAGGAACCUUCCUUCCACCCUAGUGGGUCUGGAGACAGCAUGGCUUGUCUACCCCACCGUUGCCCUCUUUUCCAUGAGUUGCAGCUUUAGUGCAGAGGAGCCAGAUUGGACCCCCUUCCUCAGAACAAUGGUUUUCAAACUACUCCACAGAAUCCUCAGGGUCUCUUAGGACUGUUCAAGGGCUCAUUUGCUGAGGAGCCUUUGAACAGUCAGUCCUAAGAGACGCUGAGACUUCUUCCACCAAAAAAAAAAAAAAAAAAAAAUGCAAACUGCCCAGGUCUGCAUUACUUUAUUUUUUAUAUUGGGGUUCUAUGUAAGAUUUGUUUUUGAAAAACAUUUAAAAAUCACUGCUUUGGAUUUAUUCCACACUCCACUGGUAUUUUUCCCCCUGCAGUUCUCCCUAACUGCUAAAAGGAGCUCAGCAGGUAAAGGGAGCAGGGCCUCUUUUCCUUGAAGGAGUCAUGGGCCAGUGCAGCCUGCGCUUACCAGCUGGCAUUCCCACUCAGCUUCCUUUCCUGACUUAGAAGUUGGGUGAUAGGCUGCCCUGCCGCUGGAGAAUCUUGGUCUUCCUCCUAGAAAAGACUGGAUAUCAGGACACCAGACUUUCUCUCCUGGUUUGGAAUGGCUAGUGACCUCCAUCCCUGCAGUUACCUAGAAAACCACCUUAGCACCAUGUGGAAGGAAAGGACCGUCUGAAACUAAAACAACAGUCCUCUUCAGUAUGGAGGGUGCUGCAUAUGGGCUGAGAAUGGCUGGGAGAAGACCCCUCAGGGUCAAGCCUUAGAGCUUCCCACCUCUUGAAAAUCCACCCUGCCCCUUUCUUUAAAGUGCACUUAAUACCAGAUGGGGACAUUAGAGAAGGAACUCUUUGUGGAGAAAAAAAAAAUGUACAUUGGGGAAAAGUCAGGCUCCAGCUUGAAAGGAAGGCAACUAGAGAGAUUUUGCCAAUGAGCUGGAAGCCCCCAAACCAAGGGGUGGAGAUGGGAGGAGCAUGCCGCCCAGUAUGGAACAAGAAAGAAAUCCAGCUCAUCACUUCAACUUGAGGGCACUGUGACAAAAAAAAAAGGCUCAGAAAUUUCCCAGCCUAUUCACCCCCAAACCCAAGGAAUCAAUCAUUUUGACUACACCUGCCUGUAACCAUCUCCAUGGACAGAUGAGCAGCCAUUGACAGGCUGCUGGGAGCAGUCUGCCUCCUCCAUUUUUCAAAAUAUUUUAAAUCAGCUCUGGGUUCUGGUCAUGAGCUCUGGGGCAGGGAAUAUCAAAAGGAGCUUGAAGAAAAAGGGAAAUGGUCCCUUGAGCAACCCAUUUCUCAGUCCAGGGGAAAACAGGAAGAGGGAGGCAAAAGGCAGACUUUGUAGGGCAGAAGUAACACCUGAAUCCUUUGAUUAAGGUGAGGGGUGUAUGAAGAAAAUUAUAUGUCUCAAUUAGCAGCCCUUCCAUUUUACCUUCCCCUGUGCUAUAUGUGAAAGAGGAGGGAGGAAGAGUCUAUUUCUCUGUCUCAUGAUGCUAAGACAUUCUUCUGCUUAAGGCUUUGUGUGUGUGCAUGCGUGUGUGCAUGUUUGUGUGCGUGCGUGCGUGUGUGUAUGAAGGGUCACAACCCUCUAGCUCCCAUUUUUCCUUUUGUCAUCUCUGUGACCUCUACUCAGUGACUAACACCACUCAGUGUGAGACGAGUAGAUGAGAAAGAAGAAACAUUCACCCUCCUCCCUAUUGCCCCAAAUAAGGAAGGUAGACUAUGCUUUGAAAUUGCUAAAUACAUCAGUAGAUACUUGAGAAUAAGACAGAAGAGAGACAUAGCAGCAGCUUUUGAUAUAUAGAUACAGAGUACAAAGAGAUACAGAGUAAGUAAGAGAAGACAUCAAACAUAGUACAGUCCAACAACAGGGGUUGGGGAGGGAGUUAGUAUCAGAGACCACAGGUUUGCAGCAUGCUGAGAAGAGGCCUCAGUCCCUCUUAGAAACUGGGAAAGAAAGAGAAAGAGGGUGUGAGGGCCCAGCUUGUAGCUCAGUCACAGAACAGGAACAGGUGGCAUCUGCACACACUUUGGUUUACUGUCCUGUUCCUUUAAUACCAACAAGCAGACCCCCCUACCACCGCCCCCCGUGACCCAGGCUUGCACCUCCACCCCUAGGUCUCCCCAACUCCUCUUCUGCAUUCCUACUUCUCUGCUUCUCAGACUUUUCUGCCUGUGUGUGCCUGGUUUACUAUUCUGGGAAACCCCUGGAGAGGGCUCAGCUUAGAUGCAGCCCAGUAAGAGACUGGCCAUGUUCUCUGUGCCACUUCUGGGCCCUAAAGCAACCUUGGUGAGAAACCCAGUGACACACAAGAACAAAGAAGGUUCCUGUGCUGCUAGAGGAGAGCACCUGGGGACAGAGGAGGAAAAAGAG
rnacentral:lncRNA from 1 species